ACCGCUUCCCCCAUUGACCAAUACAUCGUGGCUUCUUGUGAACCACUAGCCCGCGCGCAUUAGAUGCCACUAGCAUUCACAAGAAUUAGCAUGCUGCUUUAGUCACCGAAUCAACUGUAAAGACGAGGCAGCAGCAGAGCCACUGUUGCAACUCCAACUUGCUCUGCUAGCGAGCCCAAUUGGACUCCUUGUCUUGUUAAACAAAGCCCACGUAUGCUGCUUACUCGCUAGCACGAGCCGGUUGUACAACCAAUGCCAAUUACUUACUUCAGUUUCCUUUAUUUUUUAUUUUUUUGUUUUUUGUUUCCAAAAUUACAAGAUCAGAUCGAUUAUAUGAUUUUAGAAGAAAAUUUUGAAACCAAAUAGAAAACCUAUACACGGACAUAACUAUCAUGGGUUAUGAUCAAUCUUCAUAAUAAAUUAAGAAUAACAACAAUAAAUAGUUUUGCGAUACAACAAUGUCUCACAAUCAUGCAUAAAAUUAACUGUGCGUGUAUCAUAAAUCAAGAUCGCCCUGUGAUAAGUGUAUAUUUUCCAUAUAUUUUACUAUUAAUUUCUCAAUCUUUUACUUAUUUUGGUCUUAAAUAUUCUAAUUACUUUAGUUAAUUUUUGAUUUAGUUAUUUUGUUAAAUUAUAUUUUAUUAUGUUAAUUUUUAUCUUAAUUUUUGUUUUAGGUAUGUUCUGGGAUUAAGGGAAAUUAAAUCGGGACAUUUAGGAAAAAAUCUGUUUGAAAGAAUCGAAAAGAAAAAAUAAUUGAAGAUUUUUGAAAACCGCAAAAACCGAAGCCAACAAAAUUAAUUCAUGCAUAUUCAGUAGAUUAUGGUAAUCACGUGGAGAUUAAAGAAGAAAUUGAAUUUAAUUCAAUUUGGUGGCUUAAUUCAAUUGGAAUCAAGAAUCUUAAAGGAUAAUAACAUAGGUAAGCAUGUGCAAGCAUUAAAGUGGCGUUGGCUAGCUCAUUGGUUAAUAUGGGAAGCAAAUUGAACAAAAAAUGAAAUGACCAUAUUUCAUUAAGGAUGCACAUGAAUUGCCUAAACAAAUUGGUAGACAAUGCAUUUGGAAAUAAAGAAUUGAAAUUGGCAUGUGCAUGGCAAUUAAGGGAAGCAAAUUAAUUGCUUUAAAUUGGAAAUAAAAUCCAAUAAGGAUUCAGCACAACCAUGGGCAUAAUAAGAAGCCAACCUUUGGCUUUUGAUUCACACACAAUCAACAGCCACACAUACGCAAUAGCGGCGGCAAGAAUAGAAGAAAAGAAAAGGAGAAGCCGGAAGGAAGUAAAGCAGAGUCAGCUUUUGAAUUAAUUUCCAUGACUGGUUUUAUCAACUCUCUUAUUCCCAAUUCAAUUUUGUUAGGAUAAAUUUUCUAUUUGGUUGAGGGUGAAUUCAAAACCCCAAACUUGUCAUAUGAUUAAUAUUCAGUUUCUAUCAUUCAAUUUAUUUAAUUGAGAUUGUUUAUAUUCUUUUUUAAUUAAUGUUUGUGAUUUUAUUCUCGUCUUAUUUGAGUGGCCAAUUAGAUAGGAUUUGAAUAAUUUCUAUUGUUAGGUUAAAAUUCUUGAUCCGUAACUAUCUUGAUAUUUUAAUCAUUAGUAGCAGGUUGGAAUCAGUGAUUUCAAUUGGAGAACAUAACUUAGGUUAAUAAUAUGAGUUUGUGUGUUUAUUGCCUAGAUCAACCUAAUAUCUUUCUCUACUUAAUGCUUCCAUUAUCUCAAUUUUAAAGAGCUUGUUUUAAAUUAUUUAAUGGUUAGAGAUUAGGUGAAGAGCUUAUUUUGCCUAACGACACAUUAAUCAAAUAUUGAGAUUAACAGAGUUUAUUGUUGUUUACAGUUAAUAGUUUCAAUAGAAAUUGAUGAUAGAAUUGAUAUAUUAUAUGCAUGUUUGGUGGCAGUGAAUGAUCCUUUAACCAAAGUUUUCAUCAUUAUUAUUCAUUUCUCCUUUAAUUAGAGUUUUUAUUAAAUUAUUGUUUUUGUAGUUUUAAUUUCUUUAUUUCUUGCUAUUUAUUUAAAAUUUCAUAAAGCCUCCUUUUUAUUUUUAGUUGGCAUUUUCUUUAGUUAGAUUAAUUAAUUAAUUAAUUUAUUAUUAUUAUUAUUAUUAUUAUUAUUAUUACUACUACUACUACUACUACUACUACUACUACUACUUUAUUUUAAGUCUUGAUUUAAAGUUGAUAAUAAAUAUAACUAGCAUAGUCUUCGUGAGAUCGAUCCUUACUCGCUUUGUACUAGUUGUUUAUAUUAUUAGUAAGGUUGUAAAUUUGGUGCACCCUAACGACACUACCACUCUGAUACCAGUUGUUGGUAAAAAUUUGAUCUUUGAAAAAAAAAUUUAUAUUUUAUAAAAUCAAUGGAAUCCAAGACCUUUUCUUGAUUAUGUAUAGAUGCAUUGGGUUAGAGAAAUACCUUGAUUUACUGAUUAAGAUUGAAGAAGACGACUGCAAUCUUUUCCACCACCAUUGUUGGGAUCUGCAGAAUAUGGUUGUAGUCUUCUCUACUAUCCUCAAUAGCCUCCCUCACAUGAGUGGGCAUGUGGCAAACCUAAUUUU
rnacentral:lncRNA from 1 species